GACGAACGCUGGCGGCGUGCCUAAUACAUGCAAGUCGAGCGCAGGAAGCCGUCUGAACCCUUCGGGGGGACGACGGUGGAAUGAGCGGCGGACGGGUAAGUAACACGUAAAGAACCUGCCCAUAGGUCUGGGAUAACCACGAGAAAUCGGGGCUAAUACCGGAUGUGUCAUCGGACCGCAUGGUCCGCUGAUGCAAGGCGCUCCGGCGUCGCCCGUGGAUGGCUUUGCGGUGCAUUAGCUAGUUGGUGGGGUAACGGCCCACCAAGGCCACGAUGCAUAGCCGACCUGAGAGGGUGAUCGGCCACACUGGGACUGAGACACGGACCAGACUCCUACGGGAGGCAGCAGUAGGGAAUCUUCCACAAUGGACGAAAGUCUGAUGGAGCAACGCCGCGUGAACGAUGAAGGCUUUCGGGUCGUAAAGUUCUGUUGUAAGGGAAGAACAAGUGCCGCAGGCAAUGGCGGCACCUUGACGGUACCUUGCGAGAAAGCCACGGCUAACUACGUGCCAGCCGCCGCCGUAA
rnacentral:rRNA from 1 species